UAGCAUGUAGGUCAAGGACUUAUCGAGGUUUAAAGAUAUCACUUUUGGAGUAUAUUGUCAUUGGAUGUCCAAGAGCUAUAGGUUGUGUUGUGGGUAUGGACAUUGGAGAUGUACUGACAUGGGUUGGAAGUACUUCAGAGUCACUAGUACUAGAAGAGGAUAAAGGUAGUGGGUGUGUUUCCGAGGGCAAUACUUCAGUAGUAGGG
rnacentral:lncRNA from 1 species